UUGCCCAUGUGACUGAUGGCCACACACCUCUCUGCAGGGGUGUGGUCGAACACCUGCUGUCCCAUGCAAGCAGAAGUCACUGCCCACCAGGUCACCAGGGUUCAAGGCUUGUGUUAGACCGGGUACCAGGCUGCCUGUGCACAACUCACAGCUCCACAAUGUACAAGUGGAUAUUUGUAAGCAAUGGAAGAGAGAAAGAAGACCUGAAAUUGAUGAGUUUUGUAAAAUGUGGAAGGAAAACAUGAUAAGAAUUGUAUAAGUUUUCAGUAAAAAGAGAUAAUUGAUAAUGAGAGUGGAAAGCCCUAACUGAAGUCCCAGUAGUUUCAUGAUGGCCAUUCUGUUUGCAGAGAAGUUCACCGAAAUGUGUAAAACUUGGAACUAGGAACAUAAUGAACUUCCACAUUAUUUCCAGCAUCAGCACAUGCCAGAGACAUCAUGGUCUCCAAUGGCAGUAUAGACCACAGACAAUCAGCAUGCCCCUCUAUGGCAGCAUAGGCCAUGGAUGAUAUCAUAGCCCUCAGAAGCAGCACAGAGUAAGGACAUCAACGUGACUUCAGACUUCAGACCAUGAACAUAAACAUGGAUUCAGUGGCAGCAAAGACCAUGGGUAUCCAUAUGGCCUUCAGGGGUAAUACAGGUCAUGAGUAUCAAUACAGUUCCUCUGGAUGCAGUAAGACCAUGGAUGCUGUCAUGUUCCUAGGAAGCAGCAUGAACCACUAACAUCAGACUGACCUCAGGUCACAGUACAGACCCAUUCAUAUUAAAAUGGUCCUGUUUAUCAGCUUGGCCAACUAACAACGAUAUGGAGUCAGGCAGCAUCAUAGAACAAGGAUAUCUGCAUGGUCUUUGGUGGUAAAAUGGGCAAUGGACAUCAACUCAGCCCUGGCUCUAUAGCACCAUGGAUGUCCACAUGAAUCUUCUGUUUAAACAGAGCCUCAGAUAGCACAUCAGAGAUACCAAGGUGGUAUCCAUGGCCACCACAGACUAUGGAGGUCUAUGACGAUACCCAAUCCAGAAAAUGAGCCAUUCUUCAUCUGGGACAUCCUGCUGUUGCUACAAAUAUAGGAAGAUCUUGUGGUGAGGCAGCAUAUUCUGUGACUGAGUCCAUGCAAGUUCCAGACUAUUGUACACUACCCUGUUGGUUCUCCACAGUAAUGUUGUCCAUCGACUGCAGCCUUCUCUCACACCUGUCACUGCAGUUGCAUCUCUAAUUCUUUCUGUGUCUCUCUCUACUGUACAUUCACUGCCCAUUACUCUAUCUUUUCCACCUCUUCAACACAUGUUUUUUCAUUGUAGUACUGUUGGAAGUUGCGUUGUGUCACAUAGUAUUGUUUUAUUUUUUUUCCCCAAGCAGCUUUAAAAGCAAGUAUUUCUUACAAGAAGUCAACAGUCUGCUUUAAGGUUUCUGGUUUCUGGAGCACCAUAAAUAAAUGCUG
rnacentral:lncRNA from 1 species